GGGGCUGCAGCCCAGAUCCUCAGAUGUAUCUAGGCUCCUAAGAGCCACUGAAACCCAAGGGAGUUAGGAGCCUGGGGAACCUCAGAGGAUCUGGGCCACCAUCCCACCUUCGCUCCGGCCAUUCCCGGCCCUCCAGAUGGGAGGCGCCGACACCAACCUCUUUGCUUUCCCAGCCCGUGGCAGCUGCUGCUGUGCAGCUCGUGUGGCUCCCAGGGGACCCACCGCCGCUGCUCCUCGCUGGGGGCCACCAGGGGCCCGUGGGAGUGUGAGGACUGCGCGGAGCCCGCAGGGGCGGCAUCCCGCCAGCUCUCCGCCCCGGGGAGACCAGCAACCAGCCAGGCUGCGUGUGGAACCAGGGGCAGCGUCGGUGCGUCUGCCAGAGGCAGGAGGCCAGGACCCACCACACUCACCCCGAGAGCCAGACUUUCCCGUCCCCGCAAGUGAAGACCCUUCGCUGCCCCGGUCCCUGGCUCUGCUACCUACAGAAAUGUCCCCACGAGCUCUCCCAGCGUGAGCGACGCCAGAAGGAGUGAGAACGGCGUCGCCCGCUCAGCACCAGUGCUGGGAAGAGCUGUGGACCCCCGGGGUUUCCCUGCUGCUGCUCCUCUCUGUAACAUCCCAGCCCUGCCGGAGCAAGGGGUUGCCCCCCAGAACACACAGAGUGGAUACAAAUUGCUAUUUUGCCAGA